rnacentral:lncRNA from 1 species
GAUGUUAAUUCUUGUCUGUCUGUUGUUUGUUAUUAUUGUUAAUGUUUUGUUGGCCAGGAAGAUGCCUAAUACUAAUAUGCCAUUUUUCAGGACUGAUUAAGUUUCCAUUGUUGCUGGAAUUCUGCGAUUCAGAGGAAUACAUAUUUGAUAUUGUAUCUUCUGUUUAUUAAGUCAUUUCAUUGAAUAAAUUUGUAUAUUGAAACUGUAUGCUUUCUAUUUUCUUCAAGUCAUUUUUUAAGUCUUUUCACCUAUGAAGAUACUUCAUCCAGACACCAUCCUUCAGGACUGAUUCGCAUUUGUAGUCAUGAUGUCAUUCUGCAAUCUGAGGCAUAUGUUUUCUGUGCUCAUAGGCCCUUGAUUCUAUCCCAUAAUGUUACUUGCCAUUUAAGAAGAAUUUUACCAAGUGUAAGUUAACUAGAUUUAUCCUGAUUAAGUUACCUAGUUCUUAAAAUUUUGUUCAAUCCUCUUGAAUUUUGUGAUUUACAACAUCAUUUAGUUGUGAUUUUGUUUUCUUUCUUUUUGUUUUUUUGUUUUUAUUUUUUUCAUUUUUUUAAUUUAUUUUAUUUGGAUUCUUUUGUUUAAGCUGUAUUAGUCAAAAUGCUGAUAUCAUAUCGAGUGUUGUAUCUUAUUAGUUCAACACUUGAAUACCAAUAGAUAAGAAGCACAUUAUUGAUUAGCAUAGUGUGAUGGAUCUUGUGUCAUGGUGGCUUUCAUUGGUGAAACCACAUUUUUUUCGUCCUAGCUCCAUGGCCAAUGAAGAUAGCCAAUUUGAAAAAUACCAUCUUUCGGGGCUGAUUGGUGUUGGUAACCAUGCUGCCGUUCUGUGAUUCAGAGGCCUGGAUUUUUUUUUUUCUUGAUUAUUUGCCUCCUCCUCUUAUUCUUCUUCUUGUGCCCUUCUAAAUUUAUCUGAAUUUAUCUAUAUAGAUGGUUUUAGCUCCUCCCAUCCAUUAUAAGGUGGAAUUAUGAUACCUGCAAGCAUUUUUGCUUGUGGCAGAUCUCAUUGGGGGCUUGAAUAGCAAGGGCAGACAACUUGAUGCUGUCAAAUUUAUCCAUGCUUUGAAUCUUAUGGAUAAAUACCCUCCAGUGCCUAUCUUGAAAGCCUACCUAAAAGAAUCCAAGAAGGCUGCUCAAGAAGUACGAAAGAAAGGAAAUAAUUCUAUUAAGUCACAGGUAUGGUGGUUUCCCCUUUGCACACCUCAAAGUUAGGAUGUGCAACCAUGAACUCAAAGUCCCACUUUGUAUGUUAUCUUCUACAGAAUGAGGCCAUUGUGAAAGAGCUGGCUGCUCUUAAGGCAGUGAUUGGAGCUAUUAAGGAGUACAAGCUGGAAUCAGAAUAU